CAGGGUGAUAAGCACACAUUUUUACACACACUUCACUAAGAUUUGCUUUUUUAUUGUGCUGCUCAAGAACCAUUUUUGUAGUAAUGGGUCUAGGAGAGCAAAGGCCAAAUCACACACGCUGCAUCAGGUGAAAGCCCCAUAUACCAAGUGCUCAAGGAGGAGCUAGGAGCAGCUGGCACCAGCUUCCCCCCACAGCCUGCUCCUCUUCCUCCCACCACUGUUACCUCUGGAAGCUCUGCAAGCAGCCCAUCACCUCUUACCACCUCGUGGGUAGCAGGACAGCAAAGAGAACUCAUCCUGUGCUGCAUGUGCAAUCCUGGGUGCUCCCAGCUCUCUGAGGAAGAAGUACCAGUACCAAUCCAGCAAGAGCUUCUCACAGGGCUUUAUGCCACAGGUCCUUAACUCUUAGUGGAGUCUGGCCCUACCCAAGGAGCCGAAUACAGACAGCGGAACGUGCACUUUGUAUUUCUGAAACGAAUGAGACGUUCGCAUGCGAAAUGGACGGCCUUCUUCCUCCUGCCCGAUGCUUUUGCUCUGGUUUCCAUAGGAACAGCUUCUAUUGUAUCCCUGGCUGCCAGGGGAAGGAUUCAUGCAGAUGUUGUCAUCGAUCCAACACCUUGCGGCAGCUUUAUGGCGCAUUGUCUUUGCGUUUCCUGCUCUCGGGUCUCCCUUCUCCCUGGGUGGGAAUGGCUCUGGACUCUUCCUCCCGCGCAGCGCCUUUGAUCUGAAGGAAGGGAAGGGGAAAAGUAUCGAUUGGGUUUUGCUAUGAAUCCUAAUCCUUCCCUGAGCGCUUUCUGAAACCUUAAAGCAACGCGCCGUGGGGCAGCCACAGGUUUGCUUGUCUGGUUGUUAAGAUGGGCGCCCCACAAAAACACUAGCGGAGCGUUCAGCGUGGGGAGACCCUAAUUAAAACCUCUCUCUAGCGGGGCAUGGAAAACUUCUG
ensembl:lncRNA